AGGGUUUGAUUAUGGCUCAGGAUAAACGCUGGCGGCGCACAUAAGACAUGCAAGUCGAACGGACAGAACUUUUUGUUUACAAGAAGUGAAGUUAGUGGCGGACUGGUGAGUAACACGUAAGCAAUCUGGCUAUCAGAGGGGAAUAACAAUGAGAAAUCAUUGCUAAUACCGCAUAUGCUAUACCUAUUGCAUGAUAGGAGUAGGAAAGGAGAAAUCCGCUGAUAGAUGAGCUUGCGACUGAUUAGCUAGUAGGUGAGAUAAAGGCCCACCUAGGCAACGAUCAGUAGCCGAACUGAGAGGUUGAACGGCCACAUUGGGACUGAGAUACGGCCCAG
rnacentral:rRNA from 1 species